ensembl:lncRNA
CAGCCAUUCGCGGGUGAGAGCAGGGAAGCCCCAGGCUGCCGUGCAGCUGGCCGGUUUGUGGUUUGGUGGUGGCAUGGCACCCAGGGUCCCAGUGUGUGCAAGGAGGCUAAGGUCUCCCCAUGGUGCUGUGCUUGCACUGGACCUGUGGAGAGUCACCGUACACCUGUGCAGCAAGGAGAAAAGGUGCUCGUCGCACAGGGUGGCUUUUGUCAGGCUUGCGGUGGUAAAGGGAUCUGAGAAGACGUGGCUGGGCGCUGGCCACAGAGCACAAGCCUGGUGCUGUGAUCUGGUGGUUUGGCUGUGGGAAAGCUGCUUCCUCAGAUGGCCGGAUUCAAGCUGGUGCAGUCUUAUCUCCAUUUUACAAGGUCUGGGUGAAACACGGGGUUGCUCAGCCCCCACGAGCCUGGGCACCGAGAUGGGGCGUCAAUGUCUUGGAAGUGCUGAAGAAGAAAGAAGAAAGAAAGAAGAAAGUCUGGCAACGUUACAGUCCGGGUCUUUCGGUGUUCAGUCUUUUAUUCCGCCUAGCAGUUAACCGGAUAUCCUCACGGAGCAGAUGUCCCUUGCAUGCUGCGGUGCUGCUCCUCUCCUCCCGAUGUGGUCCUGCACUGAGGGAAGCUCUGCACGCACCUCCCCUCAGCAUCCUGCUUGCCAAAAAGGAGAGCCAGGCAAACCACGACUGUCGUUGGGCAAAACGUGUCUACCCAGAGGCUGCGGGAUGAUAGCGAGGGUCUUUCCAAGGCCCUGAAUUCAGGAGCAGUGCUUUACUUGGUUCGGCGGGAGCAGCUGGGGCUGCAAGCCUUGCAAGAUUCAGGAUGACGCGCUUCAGAGGACCACGUGCAAGGCCAAGGCGACUGAUGCUUUUGCGAGCCUGAAUCUCCCAGUCAGUUGUUUUUGGGAUGUGAAGCCUUGGAAAUCUUUUAUGCUAAAAAUUAUUAGCCAAGUAAUGCCCUUAAAAGUGCUCCUUCAGCAUACCCAUUGCUGGUAAUUCCAAGGCUUGCUGCAGCCUCAGCCCCUGUUUCUCCUUCACCCAGUAUGUUGGCUCCAGGAAGGAAUUGCUCUGACCUCUGCUCCCUGGGCCCUGCCUGCAUCCCGCUAAGGUGUGGGGUGAGCUCCAGGCUUGCAGCCCUUGCGUGCAGGUCUGUUGAGCCUCAGGCACUGGCUCCAGCUUCACAUUUUUGUGCUGCAGCCCACGCCGGCUGUGCUCGCAGCAGCUCUGGAGUCUUGCUUUCCGUCUGGGACCCCCGCAACGCCAAGGGCAGCCAGUCCAUGGGGCCGCAUCUGGCCUGGGAGCACCGGAGAGAAGAGGGAAGGGGGCAUGCAUGGUGCUUGGAGGGAGGUGAGGAAGGGUCCUUCCCCACCAAGUCGCUGUGCUGGCCCUGGAGCCGCCACCUCUGCCGUGGCAGAGCUGCAGUGGGUCCGGGGCACGAGCAGGAACGGCCCAGCGGAGCCGGGACGUCCCCAGGAGGCCAGCGGCCCUGCUGAGCCACCGUGGAGGGAUGGCAAUGGCAACUUUCCCACUUGUACGUCUUUCCCAUUUGUAUGUCUAAAGAAGCACCGAUUCUCGUGGCCGGGUGGACCCGAACAACAUGUCAGCAUUGCUAAACACUCUGUUUAGAAUUUUUAAAUUUUUAAUUUUUCGCGAUGGAGACUAAAAUGAGAAUUAAAGCCAGGCACGUCAGUCCCAAGGGAGUCCCCCCCUUUCCUCCCACUCCAUCUGGAAUGAAGAGGAAUUGGAAUUAUACCUGAAUUAAUGAAUAAGUAAUAGAGAGUUACACAAAUAAAUUUCAGAUGCAAGAUUUUUU